GAUGAACACUAGCGGCAGGCCUAACACAUGCAAGUCGAGGGGUAGCAGGAUUAAGCUUGCUUAAUUGCUGACGACCGGCGCACGGGUGCGUAACGCGUAUGCAACCUACCUUAUACUGGGGUAUAGCCCGGAGAAAUUCGGAUUAAUCCCCCAUAGUACUAAUGAAUCGCAUGGCUUAUUAGUUAAAGCAUUGCGGUAUAAGAUGGGCAUGCGUCCUAUUAGCUAGAUGGUGAGGUAACGGCUCACCAUGGCUACGAUAGGUAGGGGGCCUGAGAGGAUGGUCCCCCACACUGGUACGGAGACACGGACCAGACUCCUACGGGAGGCAGCAGUGGGGAAUAUUGGACAAUGGGCGCAAGCCUGAUCCAGCAAUGCCGCGUGUGUGAAGAAGGCCUGAGGGUUGUAAAGCACUUUCGUUGGGGAAGAAGGAGGUAGUUUGAAUAGAGCUACUUUUUGACGGUACCCGAAGAAGAAGCACUGGCUAACUCUGUGCCAGCAGCCGCCGUAA
rnacentral:rRNA from 1 species